GCAGCAGCCGCGGUAAUACGUAGGGUGCAAGCGUUAAUCGGAAUUACUGGGCGUAAAGCGUGCGCAGGCGGUUAUAUAAGACAGAUGUGAAAUCCCCGGGCUCAACCUGGGAACUGCAUUUGUGACUGUAUAGCUAGAGUACGGCAGAGGGGGAUGGAAUUCCGCGUGUAGCAGUGAAAUGCGUAGAUAUGCGGAGGAACACCGAUGGCGAAGGCAAUCCCCUGGGCCUGUACUGACGCUCAUGCACGAAAGCGUGGGGAGCAAACAGGAUUAGAUACCCCCGUAGUCCCUGUCUCUUAUAC
rnacentral:rRNA from 1 species